rnacentral:misc_RNA from 1 species
AAGUCGUAACAAGGUUUCCGUAGGUGAACCUGCGGAAGGAUCAUUAUUGAAUUACGGGCGAGGGUUGUCGCUGGCCUUCUCGGGGCAUGUGCACGCCCGAGCCAUCCCCAACAAACGCCGUGGCCUUCGGGCCCGCGUAUAUUUACUCUGAAUGUGCAUAGAAUGUAAACCAUUUGUUUGCCCUGAAAAAGCAAACGAAAAAUAGUACAA